GACGAACGCUGGCGGCGUGCCUAACACAUGCAAGUGGAGCGACGAACCAGACUUCGGUCUGGGGCCAAGCCGCGAACGGGUGAGUAACACGUGGGUAACCUGCCCCGAUGAUCGGGACAACCCGGGGAAACCCGGGCUAAUACCGAAUGUGGUCGCGGUCCGUGAGGACUGUGACGAAAGGAAGCUUCGGCCUCCGCAUCGGGAUGGGCCCGCGGCCCAUUAGCUUGUUGGUGGGGUAAUGGCCUACCAAGGCAUCGAUGGGUAGCUGGUCUGAGAGGACGAUCAGCCACACUGGGACUGAGACACGGCCCAGACUCCUACGGGAGGCAGCAGUGGGGAAUCUUGCGCAAUGCGCGAAAGCGUGACGCAGCAACGCCGCGUGGGGGAUGACGGCCUUCGGGUUGUAAACCGCUUUUAGUAAGGAAGAAGGGGAGUUUGACUCCUUGACGGUACUUGCAGAAAAAGGACCGGCUAACUACGUGCCAGCCGCCGCUGUAAUAC
rnacentral:rRNA from 1 species